GAUGAACGCUGGCGGCGUGCCUAAUACAUGCAAGUCGAGCGAACAGAUGAGGAGCUUGCUCCUCUGACGUUAGCGGCGGACGGGUGAGUAACACGUGGAUAACCUACCUAUAAGACUGGGAUAACUUCGGGAAACCGGAGCUAAUACCGGAUAAUAUAUUGAACCGCAUGGUUCAAUAGUGAAAGACGGUUUUGCUGUCACUUAUAGAUGGAUCCGCGCCGCAUUAGCUAGUUGGUAAGGUAACGGCUUACCAAGGCAACGAUGCGUAGCCGACCUGAGAGGGUGAUCGGCCACACUGGAACGGAGACACGGUCCAGACUCCUACGGGAGGCAGCAGUAGGGAAUCUUCCGCAAUGGGCGAAAGCCUGACGGAGCAACGCCGCGUGAGUGAUGAAGGUCUUCGGAUCGUAAAACUCUGUUAUUAGGGAAGAACAAAUGUGUAAGUAACUAUGCGCGUCUUGACGGUACCUAAUCAGAAAGCCACGGCUAACUACGUG
rnacentral:rRNA from 1 species